rnacentral:rRNA from 1 species
GACGAACGCUGGCGGCGUGCUUAACACAUGCAAGUCGAGCGGUAAGGCCCUUUCGGGGGUACACGAGCGGCGAACGGGUGAGUAACACGUGGGUGACCUGCCCUCAGCUCUGGGAUAAGCCCGGGAAACUGGGUCUAAUACCGGAUAUGACUUCAUGACGCAUGUUGUGGGGUGGAAAGCCUUGUGCGGCUGAGGAUGGGCCCGCGGCCUGUCAGCUUGUUGGUGGGGUGAUGGCCUACCAAGGCGACGACGGGUAGCCGGCCUGAGAGGGCGACCGGCCACACUGGGACUGAGACACGGCCCAGACUCCUACGGGAGGCAGCAGUGGGGAAUCUUGCGCAAUGGGCGAAAGCCUGACGCAGCGACGCCGCGUGAGGGAUGACGGCCUCGG